rnacentral:rRNA from 1 species
CCUACGGGAGGCAGCAGUGAGGAAUAUUGGUCAAUGGACGAGAGUCUGAACCAGCCAAGUAGCGUGAAGGAUGACUGCCCUAUGGGUUGUAAACUUCUUUUAUAUGGGAAUAAAACAUGGUAUGCAUACCCUCUUUUAUGUACCAUAUGAAUAAGGAUCGGCUAACUCCGUGCCAGCAGCCGCGGUAAUACGGAGGAUCCGAGCGUUAUCCGGAUUUAUUGGGUUUAAAGGGAGCGUAGGUGGAUUGUUAAGUCAGUUGUGAAAGUUUGCGGCUCAACCGUAAAAUUGCAGUUGAAACUGGCAGUCUUGAGUACAGUAGAGGUGGGCGGAAUUCGUGGUGUAGCGGUGAAAUGCUUAGAUAUCACGAAGAACUCCGAUUGCGAAGGCAGCUCACUGGACUGCAACUGACACUGAUGCGCGAAAGUGUGGGUAUCAAACAGGAUUAGAUACCCCAGUAGUC